rnacentral:lncRNA from 1 species
GCGUGCAACUGCUUGAGGGUCCUUUUCGUGUUUUGCUGAGGGUUUACGGCUUGUUUGUCUUGGGGUUCUGCUUGUGGGGGUAACAACGGUGUUACCUUGUGUUCUGUCUUUUAAACUCUCUACUGCUUAAUGAAAUACGCGCUUAAGCGUGCUCUCAAAAAAAAAUAAAUAAACUCAGCUAUUGUUUUAGAUGAUCUCCAUUGAGCACUGCAGAAGGGAAGCAAACCAGGUGGCAUAUGAGUUAUCUACAUGAGGCAUGCCAACAAAAUAUAAUUGUAUUUGAGACGAUGAACCUCCUAAUUUUAUUCUUAAAUAUAUGAUGAAUGAUGUAAUCUCUCUCAAUCAAUAAAAACUCGCCUAGUGCUUACUUCAAAUCCCGCUAACUCAGGGGAGGGAGGAUGUGAUAGCAUGGCACUAUAACAAAUCAGGUAUGUUCUCAGUACCUAUGGACAACUAAGCAUACAUGCCCCCC